UUUUCAGCCAUUUUUGGGGGCACUUCCAGCCACUGUUCGUUUUCCAUUUGGAAAUGGGUGGGAAAUUGAGCAAAAUUGGGGCUGAAAUGGGGACGACCCACCCGGGGUGAAACACCGCCUUCUGAAGCCAUCGCCCCGAGUCCGUUCAGAUCUCCAAUUUGGGUGAAAAACAGCACAAAUACCUAUUUUCUCCCUUUCCUACACGUUUUUUGGGAGGUUUUGCUGCCGGGUUCUCUCUGCCUUUUCGUGUCGAGCGUCCACGCUGCCUCGGUUUUGGGAUAAUUUCCUGCGGUUUUGGUGCUUUCACUGAUCUGUGCGAAGAUCCCUUGCUGCCAACACCCUUUUUUUUUUUUUUUUUUUUUUUUUUUUUUUUUAAUUGCUCCUCCACUUUGUCGCUGCCACACCUGAGGGGGGAAACACACUCGAACACCUCCACAACCCCCACAAAACAGCACUUUUCCCUUUUUCCACUUUUUUUUUUAAUAUCCUCCUUUCCCCCACCUGCUCCACCAUCUCACCCCCCCCUCUCCCCCCCCACCCCCCCACCCCAGCACGGUAUUUUGGGGUAAAAAAAACAAGGAUUUGGCACUUACUCUGCGGCGCACCACCGGUACCUACAACACUUUACAGCCGGAGCGUGAUGACGUUGGAUUUGGGGUUGCAUUCUGAUUUUUUUUUCCUUUUUCUGUCUUUUUUGUGAGUUUUUUUUCUUUUUCUCCCCCCCAACGGAAAAAAAAAAAAAAAUACGUAUUCACCAUUUCCGUCGUAUUUUUAUCUCAAAAUCUGCCCCCACCACAGGGAAUUCCGGGGUGCUUUGUGACCAAGCAAUGCCUGCAACGACAAGAGCCCCCCCCUACCCGCCCCAUUGCGGGGCCUCACCGCCGCUCCUUUUGGGGCCGUUUCCUCCGAUUCGAUGAAUUCCGCCUCCAGCCUCACCACGCUCCGGCUGCUUCGCCUCAUUGCCUUCCAUUCCUUCUUUUUCCUCUCUGCUUUCCACAUCUUCUCUUCUCUGGGCCCUAUUCUUCCUCUCUCUUCACCGAAUUUCCUCUUUUCUUCCCCAAUUUACACUUCCAUUCGGGCUGUCGCCAACUCCUCGCUGCGCCGCCUCUCAUCUCUUCUAUUUGUUGCUUUUUCUCUCUUCCUCUCUUCUCUUCUCCUCUAUUUUCUCUUAUCCUGAUUUCCCUCUUCUAUUUUCUAUCUUCUUUUUUUUUCCUUCCUAUUUUCUAUCUUCUUUUUCCUUCCUAUUUUCUAUCUUCUUUUUUUUUCCUAUUUUCUAUCUUCUUUUUUUUUCCUUCCUAUUUUCUAUCUUCUUCUUUUUUUUCCUUCCCUAUUACGUUCUCCUCCUUUUUCCAUCAUUUCCUCCUCCCUUUCACUUUUGCCAUUCUUUCCUCUUUUUCCAUUUCCUCCUGACCGCCGCCUUCUGUCCCAGGGCCCCAUGUGCAGUUUGAACCAAAAAGUCCUUUUUUUUCCUCUAAAUUUCUCCUCCCUGCCUCGUCGCCGCCUUCUGU
rnacentral:lncRNA from 1 species